CACGCCAGCACUGAGCGGCAGGGGGCAUAGCCAGUGUCCUGGGAAUGGAGAGGAGGGCAGAACAUGAAAGGGCAUGGUUCCAACUCAUCUAACUUUUCUAAGGAGGUUUACGCUGACGUGCUACUGGUCCUGAGGGAAAUAAGAGUUAGUCAAAUAAAUACUUUACCCACAAAA